CCUACGAGAGGCAGCAGUGAGGAAUAUUGGUCAAUGGGCGUAAGCCUGAACCAGCCAAGUCGCGUGAGGGCUGACUGCCCUACGGGUUGUAAACUUCUUUUAUACAGGAAUAAAGUGAGGCACGUGUGCCUUUUUGUAUUUACUUUAUGAAUAAGGAUCGGAUAACUCCGUGCCAGCAGCCGCGGUAAUUAGGAGGAUCCGAGUUUUAUACGGAUUGUGUGGGUUUAAAGGGAUCGUAUAGGGGUUGUUAAGUCAGUUGUGAAAGUUUGCGGCUCAACCGGAGAAUUGCAAUUGAUACUGGCAGCCUUGAGUACAGUGAAGGCAGGCGGAAUUCGUGGUGUAGCGGUGAAAUGCUUAGAUAUCACGAAGAACCCCGAUUGCGAAGGCAGCUUACUAAACUGUAACUGACAUUGAUGCUCGAAAGUGUGGGUAUCAAACAGGAUUAGAUACCCCAGUAGUC
rnacentral:rRNA from 1 species